AUUAGAAACAAUAAAGUGCAAUACUUAACCCUUAGAGGGACAUUAAUAGAACAUGAGCAUCAAAUCAUUUUAGACGAACUUUAGAAGACAUCGGUACCACGAACCUAUUGGAAUCUAGUUAUAAACUUCGCAAAGUUUAUAUUCUCUUAUGGAGCAAGGAAAAUUGCAAGACAAAGUAUAGGUUCACGAAAGUUAAUUGGGAAGCAAAAUGUGUUUGACAAACCAUGGAUGGAUAAAGUAGUUGUUAGGAAAUUACCAAGAGAACUUGUAUAUUCAAUACCCGUUAUAAAGAUUG
rnacentral:lncRNA from 1 species